GGAUAACAGGCUUAUCUCCCCCAAGAGUCCACAUCGACGGGGAGGUUUGGCACCUCGAUGUCGGCUCAUCACAUCCUGGGGCUGUAGUAGGUCCCAAGGGUUGGGCUGUUCGCCCAUUAAAGUGGUACGCGAGCUGGGUUCAGAACGUCGUGAGACAGUUCGGUCCCUAUCCGUCGCAGGCGUAGGAAAUUUGAGAAGACCUGUCCUUAGUACGAGAGGACCGGGAUGGACGUACCUCUGGUGUACCAGUUGUUCUGCCAAGGGCAUGGCUGGGUAGCUAUGUACGGAAUGGAUAAGCGCUGAAAGCAUCUAAGCGCGAAGCCAACUUCAAGAUAAGAUUUCCCACCGCAAGGGUAAGACUCCAGAAAGACUAUCUGGUUGAUAGGUCGAAGGUGUAAGUGCAGCAAUGUAUUUAGCUUAUCGAUACUAAUAGGUCGAGGACUUGACCAAAUU
rnacentral:rRNA from 1 species